rnacentral:rRNA from 1 species
GAUGAACGCUGGCGGCGUGCCUAAUACAUGCAAGUCGAGCGAAUGGAUUGAGAGCUUGCUCUUAUGAAGUUAGCGGCGGACGGGUGAGUAACACGUGGGUAACCUGCCCAUAAGACUGGGAUAACUCCGGGAAACCGGGGCUAAUACCGGAUAACAUUUUGAACCGCAUGGGUCGAAAUUGAAAGGCGGCUUCGGCUGGUACUUAUGGAUGGACCCACGUCGCAUUAGCUAGUUGGUGAGGUAACGGCUCACCAAGGCAACGAUGCGUAGCCGACCUGAGAGGGUGAUCGGCCACACUGGGACUGAGACACGGCCCAGACUCCUACGGGAGGCAGCAGUAGGGAAUCUUCCGCAAUGGACGAAAGUCUGACGGAGCAACGCCGCGUGAGUGAUGAAGGCUUUCGGGUCGUAAAACUCUGUUGUUAGGGAAGAACAAGUGCUAGUUGAAUAAGCUGGCACCUUGACGGUACCUAACCAGAAAGCCACGGCUAACUACGUGCCAGCAGCCGCAGUAA